GAAGGAAAAAUGGAAAAGAUACGAACAGAAAAAAAAGGUUUUUUAACCACAUGCUUGUCUAUCUCUGUAAUUUCCUGUAUUAUACCUUUUUCACCCUUUUU
rnacentral:ribozyme from 16 species